GACGAACGCUGGCGGCGUGCUUAACACAUGCAAGUCGAACGGAAAGGCCCUGCUUUUGUGGGGUGCUCGAGUGGCGAACGGGUGAGUAACACGUGAGUAACCUGCCCUUGACUUUGGGAUAACUUCAGGAAACUUGGGCUAAUACCGGAUAGGAUCUCCUGCUGCAUGGUGGGGUUUGGAAAGUUUCGGCGGUUGGGGAUGGACUCGCGGCUUAUCAGCUUGUUGGUGGGGUAGUGGCUUACCCAGGCUUUGACGGGUAGCCGGCCGGAGUGGGUGACCGGGAAAAGAGGGAAUGAGAUACGGACAAGAGAGAAACGGGAGGCAGGAGUGGGGAAUAGGGAAGAAUGGGCGGAAGACUGAUGCAGCAACGACGCGGGCGGGAUGACGGCAUACGGGUUGUAAACAGAGUUAGACGGAGACGAAGAGGGAGUGACGGUAAUGGGUAAAGAAGCACCGGCUAACUACGUG
rnacentral:rRNA from 1 species